GGCGAGAUAGCUCAGUUGGCUAGAGCAUGCGGUUCAUACCCGCAGUGUCGAGGAUUCUUUUUCACCG
rnacentral:tRNA from 3 species